CUGUGCUGGAGGGUGAAUAUCUGCCCCAACCCUCAAGUCUCUUCUUCUUCAAAUUCUCCUAUAUGUAGCUCCACCAGCUCUGACCAGCUUUACUGUCUGUGCUGAAGAAAAGUAUCCUCGCAGCAAGACACUCCGACCACUAUGUUUCGUGGUGGAGAUGGAUGACGAUUAAUUAAAGCAGGAAGGCUGUCAAAAUGAACACAGAGGAGUGAUUACCAGGCGCUUCGCACAAAAAGGUUGUGCUGACGGUGCCGUGGAUGUUUGGAAACAAGAACAACUCCAGGUUUUCUUCAUUUCUAACAUAAUCACGAAACAGGAGGUGACAUGGGGGUGACCUCCCGGUCUCCCUGUUAAGGCCUCCUGAAGCUCCUGGUAAUGGAAAAACAGGACAGAUGGAGAAAAUACCAGCGAGCCUCCCUGACGGAUCAGCCAGCUGUUUACCUGACAGGUAUCCCGGAGGUUUGUAAGGAUAACUUCAGCUGGUAGUCCGCUCAGAAGGCUUUGAUUGCAACGUUUGAUUUCACCUA